rnacentral:rRNA from 1 species
AUUACUCCUACGGGAGGCAGCAGUGGGGAAUAUUGGACAAUGGGGGGAACCCUGAUCCAGCCAUGCCGCGUGUGUGAAGAAGGCCUUUUGGUUGUAAAGCACUUUAAGCGAGGAGGAGGCUCCCAGUAUUAAUACUACUGGAGAGUGGACGUUACUCGCAGAAUAAGCACCGGCUAACUACGUGCCAGCAGCCGCGGUAAUAAU